rnacentral:rRNA from 1 species
CGACAUAGUGGCAGACGGGUGAGUAACGCGUGGGAACGUGCCCUUCACUACGGAAUAGCUUCUGGAAACGGAAGGUAAUACCGUAUACGCCCUUCGGGGGAAAGAUUUAUCGGUGAAGGAUCGGCCCGCGUUAGAUUAGUUUGUUGGUGGGGUAAUGGCCUACCAAGACUACGAUCUAUAGCUGGUCUGAGAGGAUGAUCAGCCACACUGGGACUGAGACACGGCCCAGACUCCUACGGGAGGCAGCAGUGGGGAAUCUUGCACAAUGGGCGAAAGCCUGAUGCAGCCAUGCCGCGUGAAUGAUGAAGGCCUUAGGGUUGUAAAAUUCUUUCGCCAGGGAUGAUAACGACAGUACCUGGUAAAGAAGCCCCGGCUAACUUCGUGCCAGCAGCCGCGGUAAUACGAAGGGGGCUAGCGUUGUUCGGAAUUACUGGGCGUAAAGCGCGCGUAGGCGGGCUGUUAAGCCAGAUGUGAAAGCCCGGGGCUCAACUCCGGAACUGCAUUUGGAACUGGCAGCCUAGAGGCCAGGAGAGGUUAGUGGAAUACCGAGUGUAGAGGUGAAAUUCGUAGAUAUUCGGUGGAACACCAGUGGCGAAGGCGACUC